GUGUCAGCAGCCGCGGUAAUACGGAGGGUGCGAGCGUUGUCCGGAAUCACUGGGCGUAAAGGGCGCGUAGGUGGUAACCUAAGCGUGUGGUGAAAGCCCGGGGCUCAACCUCGGGUCGGCCAUGCGAACUGGGUCACUGGAGCACUGUAGAGGCAGGUGGAAUUCCGGGUGUAGCGGUGGAAUGCGUAGAGAUCCGGAAGAACACCGGUGGCGAAGGCGGCCUGCUGGGCAGUUGCUGACACUGAGGCGCGACAGCGUGGGGAGCAAACAGGAUUAGAUACCCUGGUAGUCC
rnacentral:rRNA from 1 species